AGAAGGCAGAUUUGUGAGAAGCUGUGGAGCUGUCAGAGGAGAAAGAUACGAGCUGCUAACUGGAACCUUGCUGUACUCCAGGUGCCUCUGUUCCAAAGCAGCAUGCUCAGUUGAUAAGGAUAAGUACUUCUCAUGGAGGAUGAUGGCCCUAGAAAAAUAUUUCUGAAUUGUUAUAUCUGAAGUCUAAGGCAUCUACAUAGCUUGAUUCAAUACUGAGAAGACUUAAGAGGUUUCCACUUGGUUGACAAAUGCAUCCAAGCAUCAGUUGCUGAUAACAACCUGCUCCAAAUGACUACGAGUCCUGACUUUGCUGAAACCUGACAUGGACCAAUCCAGCCAAUGUGACUGCUGUCUUUUCAGCUUGUCAAUGAAACAGAUUCUUCUAAGUUCCCUCUUUGUUUUUGACUAACAUUCUAGUUUUCCAGGGCCCCGAGAAAAACGUCCUAAGGUCAGCAGGAAGUAAUUACAGAAAUGAAUGCAUCAUCCCUGUUCACACCCGCCCUCCCCCAAAUGUUAGAUAAAAAGGAAAUUUCUCUGUCAGUCAUCACAGGGAUUUUGGCCAUUAAUGUCUUCAAUAGUUAAUAAUUUCUAUCUGGGUGUCAUUAAACUAAU